AUGGAGGAUCUCCCGGAGGCACUGCUGGCAGAGAUCAUCAAGAGGGUUACCAAAAGAAGUGACUUGAAUUCUCUUUCCCUUGUCUCGAAGCGUCUCUUCGCCAUCCAGGCUGAGCAAAAGGGGUCCAUCCGGGUUGGUUGUGGCCUUUGCCUUGCCACUGAAGCUUUGGUGUCACUCUUCUCCCGGUUCCCCAAUUUGUGGAAAGUUGAGAUCGAUUAUGCUGGCUGGACACCUUCCCACGGGGAUCAGUUGGACAACCAUGACCUCUUUGUGAUUAUAUCUUGCUGUCCCUCUCUAACCGAUCUCACACUAAGUUUCUGUUCACAAAUCGAUGACACCGGUCUUGGUUAUCUAUGCUACAGCGAGAAAUUGACUUCCCUCAGGCUGAACUCUGCAACUGAAAUAACUUCUUGUGGACUUCUCUCGGUUGCAGUUGGUUGCAAGAGUCUGUCUUCCCUCCACCUUAUCAACUGUGAGAAAGUAGGCAGUACCGAGUGGCUGGAGUAUCUAGGCUUGAAUGGAUCAUUGGAAGAAUUUGUACUCAAGAAUUGCAAUGGAAUCAGCCUGUAUGACCUCAUAAUGCUUGGUCCAGGAUGGAUGAAGCUACGCAAGUUUGAAUUUCGAAUGGGAGGAUUAUGGGAUGUUCAUGAGGGAUAUGAUCAUAUGGAAAUCGAUGGUUAG
rnacentral:rRNA from 1 species